UACGUAGGGGGCAAGCGUUGUCCGGAAUUAUUGGGCGUAAAGAGCUCGUAGGCGGUGUGUCGCGUCGGCCGUGAAAACCUGCAGCUUAACUGUGGGCUUGCGGUCGAUACGGGCAUCACUGGAGUUCGGCAGGGGAGACUGGAAUUCCUGGUGUAGCGGUGAAAUGCGCAGAUAUCGGGAGGAACACCGGUGGCGAAGGCGGGUCUCUGGGCCGAUACUGACGCUGAGGAGCGAAAGCGUGGGGAGCGAACAGG
rnacentral:rRNA from 1 species